GACUCUCCCUUGUUUCUGAAUCCUUUUCGCAGUUAACUCUUCGGUUGUGGACUUCAGAUCGUUUACCUUGAAAAAAUUAGAGUGUUCAAAGCGGGCGUUUGCUUGAAUACAUUAGCAUGGAAUAAUGGAAUAGGACCCUGGUUCUAUUUUGUUGGUUUUGAGGACCAGAGUAAUGAUUAAUAGGGAUAGUUGGGGGCAUUCAUAUUUAAUUGUCAGAGGUGAAAUUCUUGGAUUUAUGAAAGAUGAACUUUCUGCGAAAGCAUUU
rnacentral:rRNA from 1 species